UCUGCUCUUCUAGUGCCACCAUGAGCUACUGUUCACUUUGGUGCUGGCCACCCCACAGCUUCCUGGGACACAGAAGACAACCCCAGGACUGCAGUAACUGAGGGCUGAAGAUGGAAGAAUCACAAUUGCCUUUAUUCCUCUGACUCCUGAAAAGAAGAUAUGAUGCUCAGUGAUAUGCUGUGGAGAUAUGGCAGCAAAUCCACUCAAAAACGAAGGAAAACCUUCAGAAAUGAAGGCUGGAAGAAAGUUUAUCCUUUCAUAUUUGACAGUCUGGAACAAGUAGGCAUGGAGUUUUGCGUUUCUUAUUAAC